GGUUACACUGUGGGAUUCUCUCUAUGUAACAUUUUUGGUAUGGUUAAAUUUUAGAAAUAGAGAACAAAUUCAUGAUGGCAAGGAUUAGAAAAGGAGAGGCAGGGAAGGCACAGGCAGGGUGGAAGUGGAUGUGGCCUUUUAUAAAAUGGUUACAGGGGAGAUACCUGUGGAGAUGGAACUAUUUUCCUGACUGCGGUGGUGUGUGUGGGAAGUUACACAUGUGAUAAAAUUAUACAGAACAAAUAAUCACACACAUAAAUGAGUGCAAGUAAAACUGAAUAAGGUAAGUGGAUUGUGUCAAUAUCAAUAUCCUAGUUGUGACAUUAGUAUAUUGGCACGUGAAGGGAGCUCAGAGCCAGUCCUAUAUUUGCCUUUGCAGGCACGGGGGGAAUUGCUGUAAACAAACCUCGUCUUAACUGGUUUUGGCCCCAUCUCCUUAUCAAACAACCACGCAGAUCUGCUAACAGCCAAUUUGCCAAGUCGGACCCUGGUUCUCUCCAGCAGUCCUGGCUCACCUUCUGGCAAAUUCAUCAAAAUACAGUGUGUGGGAUGAAAAAGUGUUCUCUAUUAACCAAUUCAUUGGUGAUUAAUCCCCCAACACAAAUAAGAGUUGGCUUUGACUGACCCCUUCGUUAACACAGAAGUGACUGUGAAGUUUGGUGAUGUACCCCAAUUCUUCCAACAGAAAAGUGCUCCUGAAGUCCAGCCAUUGUCUGUGGCAGAAGACUGAAAACAGUGUGACAAAUCUUUCCAUGAAGCUGCACUACUGAAAUCUUAUACCAGCAGCCCAGAGCUUCUCCCAAGCCUGUUCAUAUCCUGCAUAUUGGCCAAAUUCUACCCUCAGAUAUGCACACAUGGCCUCCUGAUUUCCAUUUAAAGGCUUUUGCAAACCUCGUUCCUACUUGAGGGUUAGGGAAGCUCUGCCAGUAUCUGAGGAUGAUGCCGCCAGUUGAAAUUUUCUAGACGCGACGGCUUAAAUGGCUUGUGACUGAACUGGAAACACAUCUACAUUUCAUUUUAAUUAUUGGUGAUGACAACACAAACUCUGCCAUCAUUUUGUAUUUUCCCUCUCUACCGUCUAUUUCAAAAUGACUUUAUCAUGCUUUAUCAUCGGCUGACUUCUACUUUAAUGAACCUUCAGAACCACAAAUCCUUAAGAUCCCAUUCCCUGUCAUAGAAAGAGGAAAGCCCACCCGCACAGCUAAAUGGAGAAAGGGACCAGCCUGCCGCCAGACACAGCAGAGGAGCUGUUCCCAUUCCUUUAAAAAUAGGAGAGGAAACACAUCCCACCGUCUGGGAUAGGAAACCUGUCCCUUCAGCCCCCAAGACCAGAGCCUUUCUGGAAACCUAGGAUGGAAGCACAUUCCUGGCUGGUACUCAAUGACAGAAAGCGAUGCUCUUUCUGCCACCUGCGGGGCAGUCGCUUCCCCCUGAAAAAGUCACUGUCCGAACACUUUGCAGCAGGGCAAGAGCCUGCCAGGCACUGGUGGGGCCUCUGGAACUUUCAACCUACUGCACAGAAACUCACACAUGCCUUUAGCACCAUUCACAGAAACAGCAUCUUGUUUCCAGUUUGGCUGUAGAUAAUGAAAUUAGCCCCCAAAUUACCAUAAAGUGGAAAAAGUAAACACGAAAGCAGGAGCUAGGUUUCCAGGCCUCUCCCUCCCCCCAUACGGAACAGGACCCUCUGGCUUCUUCGCUGUUUAAAUUCAAAGCAAGACUGCUGUUUUUCUAAGUCGCUAUGCUGACCCCAAGCAGAUAAAGAACACUAAAUGACACAUUCAGGAGAGCAGCUCUGUUCUCGCAGAGCCGCUGUGUUUACAUCAGGAAAUCCUGCUCGGGUGGGGACAGGGGGUCGGCCGCGGAGGCGGCCCGGGCGCCGGCCUCCCUAGCGCUCACCGCCGCGCUCCGCUGGCUGGGCCGUGCUGGCCCCUGGCGCUAGGCAGCUGACUCCAUCCAGAUGUGCCGCGGCUCCAGAGUGGCUGCCGCGCGCAGUAAAUGGGCAUCGGAGGCUCGUCAAUCCGGGCCAGAGCAAUUGCGGUCUCGGGGCCGCCCCACUGGCACUCGGAAAGGGUCUCGCUCUGUCACCCAGGCAGAAGAGCAGUGGUACGAUCUUGGUUCAUUACAGCCUUGACCUCCUGAGCUCAAGUGAUCCUUCCACCUCAGCCUCCGGAGUAGCUGGGACCGCAGGAAUGCAAUACCAUGUCUGGCUAAUUUUUGUACUUUUGGUAGAGGCGGGGUCUUGCUACCUUACCAGGGCUGGUCUCAAACUCCCGGGCUCAAGCGAUCCUCCUUGCCUUGGCCUCCCAAAGUACUGAGAUUACAGGCAUGAGCCGCUGCACAGAGCCCCACUAACUAUUUUUUGAAUAAAUCUGAGUUCCUGAAAGAUUGAAUACAAUCUGUUUAGAGGAAGAAGCUGUAAAACUGUAAUAAGAUGAAAGAAGAAGAAAGGAAGAAAAGGAGGAGCGAAAGGAGGAGGGGAAGAAACUGAUUCAUGCAGGUUAAAUAAUAUCAUAAUUAUUCCACUGUAAUUUUUUUGCACUUUAAAGUACUCACCUGUCUAUUCUGUACUGGAGUUCUGACCUUGUUUCUGGUCUACCACACCACUGCAUUUUCAAACCAAGAAUUCACUGAGAGCGAAUAGGAAGGCUCGUGCACCAGAGAGACUAUUCUCAUUUAUUUCUUAAUUAUUUAUCAACAAAACUUCAUUGGCACACUUAUUGAGAGAGUUUCAAAUCAGCGUGCUGGGCGCUGGGAAGCGCACUGGGUGCUGAGACACGGGAAGCCACAGCUUCUCUGGAGAAGCUCGCAUUCUGAAAGGAAGCGUUGGGAGAGGACAUGGAUGAAAACAUACAAGACAAAACAGUGAGCAUUGUGAUAAGAGAUAAUACAGUGUCACAGCAGCAAGAAGAAGGAAUUCACGACUCUCAAGAGGUCGAGAUCAUCCUUGAACCACCACUGACCUCAAGGCAAGGCACAAGGCGAAGAGCCCCCGAGUGGCACAGGGAGAUUGAGGGUCUCAUCCCCACUCAUAGGAAUUCAGCCCAUCAGUGGUCUAGACUGAGACAAGAAAUUAAGUAAAUUUGACUCCUAUGCCACUUCUAUAUUUAUCCAUUCAUUCGUGGGAACACUGAGAUUCCACUCCCUGUGCCUGACAGUUUGAACUAACAUUCUUACAUGUUGGUAUCACUCAAGAAUCACACUGGGAGAAGGUGGGUUUAGGUUUCUCUAGCUAGAAAAAGACUCACCACAAGGAAUCGAAUGUAAUCCUAGUUCUAAUCCAAUCUAGACCAAAAGGGUCCAGUUACUGUCCACAGAGGGCUGCGUCCAGGAAGGCCAUACUGGUGUGCUCCCAGCCACAGCCCCAGCAUGGCCGACACACAGGAAUGAAAGGUCAUGCCAGCUCCUGCUCCUUCCUUAUCCUAAGAGCCCGAGGCCCACACCUUCCCUUAAACAGACCCAGGGCACAGCCCUUCCUUAAGUCAUCCCAUAACAGUGCUGGACUACCAAAGUCCAAGCCACCACACAGGGAUGACAUAAGUGAGGUUUCCAUCUGCCAGGAGGCCAGAGGAAUGCAAGUGUCACGUCAUGGGGAAGGAAGGCCCAGUAGUAACAGUCACCUCCGAGGGGCCUUCCUUGUGGAUUGAGGGUGUCUUCUCCAUGCAGUUAGCUUAAUAACAAUAAACAGGUGGACUAGGUUCAUGAUUGAUAAAUUCCUUCUCUACCCAACCCUCCCCCUGCCCUAGACAAUGUUGGUGUCUGUACAAUUAGAAGGAUCUAUUCUCUUUUUAAUGCGGAAGCAAAGCAGAGUGAUAGGAGCUUAGAGAAAUCGCAGCACAGAUGUCAAGGCCGUAGGCCCAAGGGCUGUUAAAAAAAGAAAACUCUGUAAAUGGAAGUGAGGCUUAGUAAGGCACAGCCCUUAAGUCUUGGCUCACAAUGCAAAGGAAAAAAAGAAAAAAGAAAAAAGACUGGUGGGUGGGGGAGUUUCCUGAAGCCAUGAGUAAAAUCUGGCAGAAAGCAUUCUAUACAGCCUUUUUUGGUUUCAAUCCGCAUGACAUCACAAUCUGUGAAUUUUGCUGUGAUUGAAUUUGAAUGAACUUGUAGAUUCAAAACAAAACCCAUUUGAAACAAGCUCCACAAAGCAACUCUAGCUUCCCUGCAGCAGUUAAGUGCAUUUCCUAACUGCCUUCUUCUUUUCUGGAUGGCAAGGCCCGCCUGGGAUAACACGCCAAGUCCAAACCACACAGACACAUGCAUGCACACGCAUGCAGACACAUACAAGCACACACAGACAUAUGUGCACACACACAUGCAGACAUACAUGUGCACAUACACUCAUUCACAGAAACACACACACACACACACACACACAGUGGGAGCAGCAGGUCCAAGAGAAGUGGCAGGAGCACUGGACUGGACUGUCGAUUCUACCUGGGAGAACCUGCCCAUCCUUUUGUUCUGCUUCCCCUUUUUAUUCCUAUUAUCUUAGUUCUGCCCAGUAAAGGCAAGAAGGAAGACCUAGACCAGCCCUGCAAACACAUUGUGAGCUUAGAGAAACCAGGGCAGAAGAAAAGAAAACCACACAACAGUACUGGUGUGACGAUUAAAGUAUUCCACUAUUCCA